GCAGNUCGUACGAGAGUUUUUAACUCUAGUGGCGGACGGGUGAGUAACACGCUGUAGAAUUUACCUUUAGGAGGGGGAUAACAAUUGGAAACGACUGCUAAUACCCCAUAUGCUUUUGAGUGAAAUGGAUUUAUAUUUAUCCGCCUAGAGAGAAGCUCGCGGCUGAUUAGCUUGUUGGUAAGGUAAGAGCUUACCAAGGCGACGAUCAGUAUCUGGUUUGAGAGGACGAUCAGACACACUGGAACUGAGACACGGUCCAGACUCCUACGGGAGGCAGCAGUGGGGAAUUUUCCGCAAUGGGCGAAAGCCUGACGGAGCAAUACCGCGUGAGGGAAGACUGCCUAUGGGUUGUAAACCUCUUUUUUCAGGGAGGAAUAAAAUGACGUGUACCUGAAGAAUAAGCAUCGGCUAACUCCGUGCCAGCAAGCCGCGGUAAGACGGAGGAUGCCAAGUGUUAUCCGGAAUCACUGGG
rnacentral:rRNA from 1 species